rnacentral:tRNA from 1 species
ACCAGGGUGGCAGAGUGGAGAUUGCCGUCGUGCGUGAGCCCGCCGAAGGAAGCUUUUAGCGGUUCCUCCGUAGGUUCGAAUCCUACCCCUGGUC